rnacentral:rRNA from 1 species
GAUGAACGCUAGCGGCAGGCUUAAUACAUGCAAGUCGAGGGGCAGCAUGAAUGUAGCAAUACAUUUGAUGGCGACCGGCAAACGGGUGCGGAACACGUACACAACCUUCCUAUAAGUGGGGAAUAGCCCGGAGAAAUUUGGAUUAAUACCCCGUAACAUAAUGAUGUGGCAUCACAUUAUUAUUAUAGCUACGGCGCUUAUUGAUGGGUGUGCGGCUGAUUAGAUAGUUGGCGGGGUAACGGCCCACCAAGUCCACGAUCAGUAGCUGAUGUGAGAGCAGGGUCGGCCACACGGGCACUGAGACACGGGCCCGACUCCGACGGGAGGCAGCAGUAAGGAAUAUUGGUCAAUGGACGCAAGUCUGAACCAGCCAUGCCGCGUGAAGGAUUAAGGUCCUCUGGAUUGUAAACUUCUUUUAUCUGGGACGAAAAAAGGCGAUUCUUCGUCACUUGACGGUACCAGAUGAAUAAGCACCGGCUAACUCCGUGCCAGCAGCCGCAGUAAUAC